GCGUAGCUGAUCAUUAAUGCCGCGUGUGUGAAGAAAGCUGCGGGUUGUAAAGCACUUUAAGCAGAGAAGAAGGGGCAGGAGUUAAUACCUUCUGUCAUUGACGUUACCUGCAGAAUAAGCACCGGCUAACUCCGUGCCAACAGCCGCGGUAAUACGGAGGGUGCGAGCGUUAAUCGGAAUUACUGGGCGUACAGCGCGCGUAGGCGGUUGGCUAAGUUUGCUGUGAAAGCCCCGGGCUUAACCUGGGAACUGCCGUGAAUACUGGUCCGCUAGAGUAUGGUAGAGGGUAGUGGAAUCUUCCGGUGUCUCAGUGCCAUGCGUCGAGAUCGGAAGGAAC
rnacentral:rRNA from 1 species